rnacentral:rRNA from 1 species
UACGUAGGGGGCAAGCGUUAUCCGGAUUUACUGGGUGUAAAGGGAGCGUAGACGGGACAGCAAGUCUGAUGUGAAAGGCGGGGGCUCAACCCCCGGACUGCAUUGGAAACUGCUGACCUGGAGUACCGGAGGGGUAAGCGGAAUUCCUAGUGUAGCGGUGAAAUGCGUAGAUAUUAGGAGGAACACCGGUGGCGAAGGCGGCUUACUGGACGGUAACUGACGUUGAGGCUCGAAAGCGUGGGGAGCAAACAGG